GCCAUAUUUUGGAAUUCAAGACGGCUGUAAAUCAUUUCCUCUGCCCUCUACCGGUGGCGCCACUUUCUUCCACUACCCAAAAACCUCCAAACCACCCCAAAAUUACACCAUUGCUUCACCUCAUGCCCCUCUCCUCCGAAUUUUCACUGAUUUCUUCUAAAACACAGCCAAAAUCGAUGAACCGAGCCUCAAAAUCAUAAACCCUAACCUCCUUGCCCCCUUUCCGAUUCUGGCAAAACCAAGGCCCGUCUGACUUUGAGAAUUGCACUAUUCAAUAGAUCCUUCCAAGAUCUAUCCGUUGGAGUUAGUCUCUAGUCGAUUCGAUGACCUCUGGUGCCAUUCAACUCGCCGUUGACCGGCAUACAUACCUUGAACCUUCCCUUCUCCUCUUAUUUCGGUCUUUCAGUGGCCAUUUUCACAUGUAGCACUGACUGGAUUGCAAAAUCCAAUUCGGUGCUCAUGUGAAGGUGACUUCUGCUUGCCGAAACUCACUUAUUCUGAUGAGGCUCUAUGAGGCUAGAGGAUGGUUAUCUCAUGAAGAAUAGAAGUGGUUGGCCACUGCAAGUUAGAAGUUGCUAACAAGAAGGGCUACUGCUGUAAUAGACUAGCUUCGUUUGAUUGUAAUAUGAUAAAUUAGUUAUUAUAUCUGCAAAUGUAUUCCUUUUGUAUGAGAUUUGUGAUAGUUUGUUCGAUCAAUUGUUUAUUGGUUUAUUCUGCAA